rnacentral:rRNA from 1 species
GACGAACGCUGGCGGCGUGCUUAACACAUGCAAGUCGAACGGAAAGGCCCUGCUUUUGUGGGGUGCUCGAGUGGCGAACGGGUGAGUAACACGUGAGUAACCUGCCCUUGACUUUGGGAUAACUUCAGGAAACUGGGGCUAAUACCGGAUAGGAGCUCCUGCUGCAUGGUGGGGGUUGGAAAGUUUCGGCGGUUGGGGAUGGACUCGCGGCUUAUCAGCUUGUUGGUGGGGUAGUGGCUUGCCAAGGCUUUGACGGGUAGCCGGCCUGAGAGGGUGACCGGCCACAUUGGGACUGAGAUACGGCCCAGACUCCUACGGGAGGCAGAAGUGGGGAAUAUUGCACAAUGGGCGGAAGCCUGAUGCAGCAACGCCGCGUGCGGGAUGACGGCCUUCGGGUUGUAAACCGCUUUCGCCUGUGACGAAGCGUGAGUGAAGGUAAUGGGUAAAGAAGCACCGGCUAACUACGUG